AUUAUUGGGCGUAAAGGGCUCGUAGGCGGUUUGUCGCGUCGGGAGUGAAAACACUGGGCUUAACUCAGUGCUUGCUUCCGAUACGGGCAGACUAGAGGUAUUCAGGGGAGAACGGAAUUCCUGGUGUAGCGGUGAAAUGCGCAGAUAUCAGGAGGAACACCGGUGGCGAAGGCGGUUCUCUGGGAAUUACCUGACGCUGAGGAGCGAAAGUGUGGGGAGCGAACAGGAUUAGAUACCCUGGUAGUCCACACCGUAAACGUUGGGCGCUAGGUGUGGGGUCCAUUCCACGGAUUCCGUGCCGCAGCUAACGCAUUAAGCGCCCCGCCUGGGGAGUACGGCCGCAAGGCUAAAACUCAAAGGAAUUGACGGGGGCCCGCACAAGCGGCGGAGCAUGCGGAUUAAUUCGAUGCAACGCGAAGAACCUUACCUGGGUUUGACAUACGCCGGAAAGCCGUAGAGAUACGGCCCCUUUUAGUCGGUGUACAGGUGGUGCAUGGCUGUCGUCAGCUCGUGUCGUGAGAUGUUGGGUUAAGUCCCGCGCCGAGAGCGACACCUCUUCUCUUAUGUGGCCAGAACUCCCUUUUGAAUGUUGGGAAUUCAUAGGAGACUGCCGGGGUCAACUCGGAGGAAGGUGGGGAUGACGUCAAGUCAUCAUGCCCCUUAUGUCCAGGGCUUCACGCAUGCUACAAUGGCCGGUACAAAGGGCUGCGAUCCCGUGAGGGGGAGCGAAUCCCAAAAAGCCGGUCUCAGUUCGGAUUGGGGUCUGCAACUCGACCCCAUGAAGUCGGAGUCGCUAGUAAUCGCA
rnacentral:rRNA from 1 species